UACGUAGGGUGCAAGCGUUAAUCGGAAUUACUGGGCGUAAAGCGUGCGCAGGCGGUGAUGUAAGUCAGGUGUGAAAUCCCCGGGCUUAACCUGGGAACUGCAUUUGUGACUGCAUCGCUGGAGUGCGGCAGAGGGGGAUGGAAUUCCGCGUGUAGCAGUGAAAUGCGUAGAUAUGCGGAGGAACACCGAUGGCGAAGGCAAUCCCCUGGGCCUGCACUGACGCUCAGGCACGAAAGCGUGGGGAGCAAACAGG
rnacentral:rRNA from 1 species